CCAAUCUCCAUUUCCAGUUUUCCUAUUCAACUUCAAACCUCCCUCUGUUGCAAUCCAUCUUUUGCUCCGUCGAAUCGCCGUCGUUGACUCCGAUCACCGGAAGCAGAGAUGAGCAGACAUGAUUCAAAGUAUUUCUCCACCACUAAAAAAGGCGAAAUCCCUGAGCUUAAAGAAGAACUCAAUUCAUAGUACAAGAUCCAUCUAAGAGUUCCAUUCGUGAUUGAGAAAAAACGUUGCAACAUCAUCAUAUAUGUUGCGAGUGGGCUACAUUACCUUCAUAAAAGAAGCCAAUUCUGCCUCGAGACAUGGUCAAGGCUAGGAUUGGAAUAUCGUGUAUACCUGUACACGAUAAGACACGACACGAUAAGACACGAUACACGAACUAGCUAACAUCCUGACAGAUGGAUUAAUCCGCACAAAAGAAGAAAUGAGUUCUCAUGCUGUUGUAAUUACAUGGAUUUUUCUCGGGCGGGAUAAUAACCGACUUAGUGUUCAGUUUAAAAAUUCAUAUGGAGUAAGGAGGAGAGUUCUGGGGCAAGCACGGGUAACUGAUGCCUUUUUCAAGAAGAUUGGAGUACCAGAGAUGUCGGAAUAGAGCGAAAAUUAAGAGAAAAGAGAAAAGAAAGGAUAGUUAAUAAAGAGAAGAAAAGAUCCGGUGGCCACGGUGACCCAUGGUUGGUCAAGGGGAGGUUAAAGUUUGAGAUGAUGGUCAAAGAGAGCGUCAGAAUAUAGAGAAUAGAGACUGUUUAACCUUCACGUGAAAUCCAACGGUGGACUUAAAGAUAGAGACGGCGGUGCCAUGUGGUGGUCUACGAUGUAUGAUGGUGAGAGGAGAUAUUGGCGUUGAGAGCUCCCCAUCUACCUCUGUACACCACGGCUACAAGGUUAACGAUGGCGGAGUGAUGGUUGUUAUGGCUAUCUGUGGCGGAGUCAUAGUUUUGUAGAAAAGAAAGUCAUGGUUUUGUAGAAAAGAAAAUUUGUAGUUUGUGAAAACUGAAAAGUAAGAUAUGGAAGAGAGAUUUGGGAGUUUUGGAUACAGUACAAGAAAUUCAAAUUUAGUUAAUAAUUCAAUUGAAAUCCGAAAUUUAGCUGUUUUGAACU
rnacentral:lncRNA from 1 species